rnacentral:SRP_RNA from 1 species
UUGGUUCUCCCGCAAUGCUACUUUGUUCACCAGGUCAGGUCCGGAAGGAAGCAGCCAGGGCAAAGGACGUGUGUGCCGGGAUGUAGCUGG